rnacentral:rRNA from 1 species
CACGUAGGUGGCAAGCGUUGUCCGGAAUUAUUGGGCGUAAAGCGCGCGCAGGCGGCCUUUUAAGUCUGAUGUGAAAGCCCACGGCUCAACCGUGGAAGGUCAUUGGAAACUGAAAGGCUUGAGUACAGAAGAGGAAAGCGGAAUUCCACGUGUAGCGGUGAAAUGCGUAGAGAUGUGGAGGAACACCAGUGGCGAAGGCGGCUUUCUGGUCUGUAACUGACGCUGAGGCGCGAAAGCGUGGGGAGCAAACAGG